ACGUGUUUUCAAGCCGCAUAAUUAGCGUGUUUAUCGAUGCCGCUUGGCCUCCGUUGACUUCCAUUACCUUGCGAUUGCGUGUGGAUUUACGCCGUGGCGAGAAUAUGAAAGGGAGAAAAUCUGAACUUUCACCCAGGAGAC